AUCACUAAAGCCUGCGAGAAAUAUACUAAAAUUGGAUCGAUACAGAGAAGAUUAGCAUGGCCUCUGCGAAAGGAUGACACGCAAAUCCGUGAAGCGCUCCAUAUUUUA
ensembl:snRNA U6 U6 spliceosomal RNA